rnacentral:rRNA from 1 species
UACGUAGGGUGCAAGCGUUAAUCGGAAUUACUGGGCGUAAAGCGUGCGCAGGCGGUUUUGUAAGUCUGUCGUGAAAUCCCCGGGCUCAACCUGGGAAUGGCGAUGGAGACUGCAAGGCUAGAGUUUGGCAGAGGGGGGUAGAAUUCCACGUGUAGCAGUGAAAUGCGUAGAGAUGUGGAGGAACACCGAUGGCGAAGGCAGCCCCCUGGGUCAAAACUGACGCUCAUGCACGAAAGCGUGGGAAGCAAACAGG